CCCAGUGUGAUGUCUCUGGUUUAUCACAGGCCUGAGCUUGGGCACAGCUCCAGCCCUGGAAGUAACUCAUCCUAGUACCUAUUAAGCUAUGAAAUGGGCAUGCAACAGGAAUCAAUUCUGGAUAAUCUGAGCAAACACAGAAAUUUAUUAUGGAGAGAGAAUUGCUCAGUGAUUCAAAGGAAUAGUGGAAGAAACAUGUAUCAGCAAGGGUAGACAAGACAGUUCCAGGAAUCUAAGUAACAAGAAUUGAUGGACAGUUUUUUCAAAGUUCUCUCCUUGAUGUGAGUGAAAUCUAACCAUUUAAAAUCUCUAUGU
rnacentral:lncRNA from 1 species